UACGUAGGGGCCUAGCGUUGUCCGGAUUUAUUGGGCGUAAAGAGCUCGUAGGCGGUUCGUCGCGUCGGCUGUGAAAACCCGAGGCUCAACCUCGGGCCUGCAGUCGAUACGGGCUAGCUAGAGUGUUGCAGGGGAGACUGGAAUUCCUGGUGUAGCGGUGAAAUGCGCAGAUAUCAGGAAGAACACCAAUGGCGAAGGCAGCUCUCUGGGACGGUACUGACGCUGAGACGCGAAAGCGUGGGGAGCGAACAGG
rnacentral:rRNA from 1 species